rnacentral:tRNA from 1 species
GGUCGGUUAGCUCAGUCGGCAGAGCGUCGUGCUAAUAACGCGAAUGUCAUGGGUUCGAGCCCCAUAUCGACCA